CCUACGGGGGGCAGCAGUGAGGAAUAUUGGUCAAUGGCCGGUAGGCUGAACCAGCCAAGUAGCGUGAAGGACGACGGCCCUAUGCGUUGUAAACUUCUUUUAUCAAGGGAUAAAAUGCGGCACGAGUGCCUCAUUGCGUGUACUUGAUGAAUAAGGAUCGGCUAACUCCGUGCCAGCAGCCGCGGUAAUACGGAGGAUUCGAGCGUUAUCCGGAUUUAUUGGGUUUAAAGGGAGCGUAGGGGGGUUGUUAAGUCAGUGGUGAAAGUCUGCGGAUCAACCGCAAGAUUGCAGUUGAUACUGGCAGUCUUGAGUAGAGUAGAGGUAGGCGGAAUUCGUGGUGUAGCGGUGAAAUGCUUAGAUAUUACGAAGAACUCCGAUUGCGAAGGCAGCUUACUGGACGGUAUCUGACGCUGAUGCUCGAAAGUGUGGGUAUCAAACAGGAUUAGAUACCCGAGUAGUC
rnacentral:rRNA from 1 species